rnacentral:rRNA from 1 species
UACGAAGGGUGCAAACGUUGCUCGGAAUUAUUGGGCGUAAAGCGCACGUAGGCGGCUUAGCAAGUCGGAUGUGAAAUCCCUCGGCUCAACCAAGGAAGUGCAUCCGAAACUGCUGAGCUUGAGUACGAAAGAGGAUCGCGGAAUUCCCGGUGUAGAGGUGAAAUUCGUAGAUAUCCGGAGGAACACCGGCGGCGAAGGCGGCAUCCUGGACUGGUCCUGACACUCAUGAGCGAAAGCG